CGCAGGACAGCGUCCAGGAAACCAAAGUUCCGCUGGGAGUAUGUUUGGAGCUGCUUUGUAGCGAUGGAGAGUACAUGGAGUAGUGGAUGGGUGAAGACAAGUGUGAGGUAUUCUUCAAGACUGUCACACUGCUGAGGAAAAACCUGAAGACAGACAAUGUACCUUCAGUCAGUGAGCUUUAAGAAGAGGGAGUCUGUGGAGGCUGAGAUGUCACUGUCAGUGGUGGAGCCGUGGCUAAUCAGGAUGACCUCAGCUCAGCCCUGUGGGUGGCUUCUCUCUCCAAGGCUGCGUGGUGUAUGAGCUGGACUUUAACGGCCUUCCCUCUGCUGACUGCCUCCUGCCCUACUACUCACCAUGUGUGACAGACAAGCAGAGGGGAGCUUUCACACGCAGGCCUCCAGCAGAAUAUCAUCCACCAUCAGAGCAGCCAAUAUCAGAAAAGUGUUUUGUUAAUAUUGUGGAUAUUACCAAUUGAUACUGAAUGUAAUAAAA